rnacentral:rRNA from 1 species
CUAAUAGCGUAUAUUAAAGUUGUUGCAGUUAAAAAGCUCGUAGUUGAAUUUCAGGGUUAAUAAGUUGGUCGUACCUAUGGUAUGUACUGGCUUUAUUGAUUCCUACCUCUUGACGAACUGUGAUGCCAUUAAUUUGGUGUUGCAAGGAACCAGGACUGUUACCUUAAAAAAAUUAGAGUGUUUAAAGCAGGCUUAUGCUU